GACGAACGCUGGCGGCGUGCCUAAUACAUGCAAGUAGAACGCUGAAGGAGGAGCUUGCUCUUCUGGAUGAGUUGCGAACGGGUGAGUAACGCGUAGGUAACCUGCCUGGUAGCGGGGGAUAACUAUUGGAAACGAUAGCUAAUACCGCAUAACAGUAGAUGUUGCAUGACAUUUACUUAAAAGGUGCAAUUGCAUCACUACCAGAUGGACCUGCGUUGUAUUAGCUAGUUGGUGGGGUAACGGCUCACCAAGGCGACGAUACAUAGCCGACCUGAAAGGGUGAUCGGCCACACUGGGACUGAGACACGGCCCAGACUCCUACGGGAGGCAGCAGUAGGGAAUCUUCGGCAAUGGACGGAAGUCUGACCGAGCAACGCCGCGUGAGUGAAGAAGGUUUUCGGAUCGUAAAGCUCUGUUGUAAGAGAAGAACGAGUGUGAGAGUGGAAAGUUCACACUGUGACGGUAUCUUACCAGAAAGGGACGGCUAACUACGUG
rnacentral:rRNA from 1 species